CAAAAGCCAUUAAUUUCUUCUACCUCCGUGAAUCUCUUCGUAUCCUUCUCUACCAUCAAUAUUCUGAUACCAUUGAUCUCUUCCUCUCCCUAUGAAUUCGUUUUCCAUAAAUUAAUUGCACAAAGCAAUUAUUCAACAUUCUUGCCCUUUCACCUUACUUUUUGAUUCAGUUGAUUUAAAAAUAGAUCUACUUAUCAAAACAAAAAAAAAUGCAAAUUCAAAGAUUCAACAAUCAAAGACCAAGCAAAAGCUAAAGAAAACUCCUCCCGUUACUUCGCCGCCGCCGUUGACCACUGUGUAAUCAAUCUACAAACAACCAAUUACAUCCUCUUCUCGAACCGUUCCUCUGCUCACGCUUUGCUUCAUCACAUCUCUCUGCCGUGAAGAAGACAUUCAAAGAAAAACCAGAUUCGGCCAAGGGUUAUAGCCGGUGCUGAUCUCUUAGUCUUCAAUAAGUGUGAAAAGCUGCCAAUGAGUAUAGUAUGAGCUUGACAACGCAAUACUAGGCAGCUUUGAGGUGGAUGAGUUAUAUAUGCUGGAAGUCUACGACAUCACUCACUUUGAGUUUGUUGCAGGGGUUCCAAAGAGCAAGGAUGGAUACAAUCCUGCAACGUGAACACUCGACGUCACUACUCCUUCAAUGGAAUAACACAUUAGUGUCAACUUUGCUCAACUAUUCACAAACUCCUCUCUUUAUCGGGGAAACCAGGAACUAAUCAAAGAGCUCAGUACUCAACCACCAGAAUCGAAAGUUCUCUACUUCCAAACGAAGUACUCGCAGCCGUUUUUGGUAAUUUUUGUUGGAAGUGGGAGUGAUUGUAAGGCUGUUCUCGCAGAGUACUGAGAUCGGAAAGUCUGUUAAUGGCUUGAGGAAACAUGGCUGUCACUGAGGUUCGCCAACUUGCAAAGACUUUGAUCGGAGAGUGGAAGGAGCUGGUUGAUCGGUGGGUGAACACCACCAAGGAAAUCGCUGGUGCUCAAGGUACAACAGGGUCUGCUAAUCCCUCUGUAGUUGAUGAAGAAUAAAAAGAUGAUGAGUUUCCAUCACUUCCGUAUGGUAUUGAUAUCUUUACACCGGAAGUAAACGGUUUUAAAAUGUUAAAUGUAGAUUUCUUGGACUUUGAUGGAAGUAAGAUACCUCAGUACAAUGCCAUCCGGUUUCUCAUGGCAAUAUUGGCUUGGACGUUGUAGAGUAUGAUCACAUCUCAAGUAGGAGACAAUGAUUUGAUAGAAUUAAUUCUUUUUUGAAAGAUGGGUUCGGGUUCGAACAUGACUUCUUACCAUUUGUAGCUCACGUCCACAUAGGAUGGAUAGUGAUCUUUAUCUUUGCUUAUGAUUUCAAGUUCAACGUACAUC